rnacentral:rRNA from 1 species
UACGGAGGGUGCAAGCGUUGUCCGGAAUCACUGGGCGUAAAGGGCGCGUAGGCGGCUCAUGAAGGCUGUGGUGAAAGUCCGGGGCUCAACCUCGGAUCGGCCGUGGCGACUCGUGGGCUGGAGCACUGUAGAGGCUCAUGGAAUUCCGGGUGUAGCGGUGGAAUGCGUAGAGAUCCGGAAGAACACCGGUGGCGAAGGCGGUGAGCUGGGCAGUAGCUGACACUGAGGCGCGACAGCGUGGGGAGCAAACAGG